rnacentral:rRNA from 1 species
UACAGAGGUCUCAAGCGUUGUUCGGAUUCAUUGGGCGUAAAGGGUGCGUAGGCGGCGCGGUAAGUCGGGUGUGAAAUCUCGGGGCUUAACUCUGAAACUGCAUUCGAUACUGCGGUGCUUGAGGACUGGAGAGGAGACUGGAAUUCAUGGUGUAGCAGUGAAAUGCGUAGAGAUCAUGAGGAAGACCAGUGGCGAAGGCGGGUCUCUGGACAGUUCCUGACACUGAGACACGAAGGCCAGGGGAGCAAACGGG